rnacentral:rRNA from 1 species
CGGUAUUUUGACCGUGCUAAGGUAGCAUAAUCAAUUGUUUUUUAAUUGAAAACUAGUAUGAACGGUUUAAUUUACUUAAUUAGUUUGUAAUUUUUAAUAGUAAGUUAAAUAUAAAGUAAGAAUUCUUUAAUAAAUUAGGGGACGAUAAGACCCUAAAAGCUUUAUGAUUGGCAUUUAAUUGGUGAUAGCGGUGUUAUUAAUUCACUGGGGCAGUGAGUUUAGGUAUAUUUAAGUAUAAUUAAAAGCUCCUUUAAAUAAAGAUUUCAUGUAUAAGUUACUUUAGGGAUAACAGUGCAAUAUAUU